AUUGAACGCUGGCGGCAGGCCUAACACAUGCAAGUCGAGCGGAUGAAGGGAGCUUGCUCCUGGAUUCAGCGGCGGACGGGUGAGUAAUGCCUAGGAAUCUGCCUGGUAGUGGGGGAUAACGUCCGGAAACGGGCGCUAAUACCGCAUACGUCCUGAGGGAGAAAGUGGGGGAUCUUCGGACCUCACGCUAUCAGAUGAGCCUAGGUCGGAUUAGCUAGUUGGUGGGGUAAAGGCCUACCAAGGCGACGAUCCGUAACUGGUCUGAGAGGAUGAUCAGUCACACUGGAACUGAGACACGGUCCAGACUCCUACGGGAGGCAGCAGUGGGGAAUAUUGGACAAUGGGCGAAAGCCUGAUCCAGCCAUGCCGCGUGUGUGAAGAAGGUCUUCGGUUUGUAAAGCACUUUAAGUUGGGAGGAAGGGCAGUAAGUUAAUACCUUGCUGUUUUGACGUUACCAACAGAAUAAGCACCGGCUAACUUCGUG
rnacentral:rRNA from 1 species